AUGUUAUCAUGUUUAUGUUUUCAGAGCUAUUUGGCAAAGAGCCCUACCAUGGAGCAGCAUCUCGCUCAUGAUAAAGACCUGAUGAGCCAAGGAAUCGUCAUGAAAAUAUCAACAACCUGUUCAUUAGCCAUUUCUGGAUCCGUUUGGUGAUACAGAAUUUUCGUUGGCUGGAUUCUUCAUGUCAAAGUGUGCUUUCUCGUGAUAUUUGGUUGACAUGGAUAUGGCAAAAAUAAGUUUGUUCAGACUCGGUCGUGAUUGUUGAGGUUUGGUCAUGGUUGAUUUGAAGAACAGGCAGGAAAAUUACCAUCACCGGAAGGUAAUGACUACGACUAUGCCCUUAAGAUCAAGACAUGCUGAACAUCCAGAUUUACAUUAGGCCUGAGCAUGAAACUUGAACGGUGAUGAGACUAGUAGCAGCGUUUGAAUGGAGUCUGAGCUGGGAGAAGCCCACUCUUUUGUCAAGGAUGGAAUGGCACUCCACAUUUGUCCUUUCGUGGCAGAUGGAGGAAAUUAAAUGGUCCUUAGUGGAGACACUCUUUGUCUUCUUCCGGUAGCUUUUGUUUCCUCCCUUUCCUACAAGGCUGCUGCCUCUCUUAGGGAAGAGAUUUCAUCUGCUCCUGCUUCUACGGAGUUCAUCUAGUACAGAAGAAUGGCAGACAGAUAGAAUUAAAGUCGAUUUCAGGAAACCCAAUGAGGUCGCACCACAUCAGCACUGCCCACGCGUUAGGGCACCAUGCAGGGCCCCACGUGAUUUAAGUUGGGAUGGUGAGAUGGCAGCAUCCACCUUCCGUCCGCUGUCCAAGAAUGCAUCUCACAAAUGCAGCUGAAGUGACGGAGACAAGGAUGUUUAUCUAAUCGGCUGAACCUUGAUGGUUUGAUUAGGCUCAGGGAAUCAUACAGCUCAGCUUCGAGAUGUUCGUUGCCGCCCAUGGGAAAAGUCCGAGUGCUCCUGACUGUAGCAGUGGAUAAGGAAGUGCUUGUGA